AAGCGGAGGGGAGCGUGGGGUUGGGUUUCCCCGGGGCCUGGGCCACUCCUUUGGGAAGAGCUGUGGGUAGGGGCAGUCCCGAGGAUUCUCAUCUUCCUUCUACUCCUAGCCCUCCCUUAAGGAGCCACAUCUUCUUCCUGUGUUGUCCAGGAUGUCAGUCUGGUGGGAGGGCUUCCAUGGGUGUCCUCUGAGGCUUUGCAGGUGGAGGUAGGAAGUCAACAGGGAGCCUGUUGUCUUCUUCCAGGAUCCGAGCAGUAAGAAAACGUGCUGAGGCUUAUAAGGGGAGGUGGAUUCUGUGGCUGAAGCAGGGAGUUUGAGGAGUGAUCUAGAGGGUUCUGCUGUCACUGGGGCUGGUCUGAGCUUUGGGGGGAAUGUCACCCUGGGAUGGGGAGGGAGAGACCCCAGGUCUGAUGGCUCUUCCUCCAGAGAGGCAGGUAUAAAUAAGGCUGAUGCCUUAGGCUGUGUGUCACCUCAGAGAACCUUCAAAGUGGCCAUGGUCCCACCAAGAGGGGGAUGGGAUAUGCUAGGAGGGCUAGGUGCUGGACAUCCACGUGCCAGCAGGUUGGUGCGCAUCUGGACAGCUGCAUGUGGCCUGACCUUGGGCAUGUCCUGUUGCAUCCCCAGGCCAUAGUUUCUACGGUUGGAUAACGGGGUUCACUGUUUGCUACCUCAGGCUCUACUCUCUGGGAACCCACCCUUGUCCCUCCCCUGGGGCAGUGGUGACCUUGGUGCUUCCAGCAGACUCACUGUCAUCCUCUGUAGACUGAGCUGUCCAGACGUGAAGACGAGCGUGGUGCGUGGCACCCCGCUCCCCACAGCCUGGCCACCCCCGGGGGCUCCAAACACGAAGACAGGGUCUCUCUCUACAGGUGCCUGGGGGACAGGUUUCAGGAGGCACCAAGAACCAGUGACGUGACCCAGGGGCCCCUGGCAGCCACCAGCAGGAGCUGCUGGAGACCUGUCCAUCUCGGAGCCAUGUAAGGGAAGUAGAAACCAGGCGUCUCCUCCAGCUCCAGGGGGGCGGAUGUGAGAGAUUCUUGGCUAAGCAGGGUAUUUCUUGGGGGUGCAGCUGGCCCAGUGUGUAUAUGGGAGCUUCUGUUUCAGAGUGUCAUACUGUGGCCUGGACUUCAGUGAGGUGACAGCAGACCAAGUAUCUUCCUCGGAAAGGGGUUCAGUCCUUUAUUUAGUUUCCCCUUACAGAGAGAAUCCACAAACUAGCCAGCCAGCCAGCCAGCCAGCCAGCCAGGCAGCCUCUGGGCUGGUGCUCUUGCCCCGGUCUGGCCCUGGGCCAAGCCCUUGAACAGAGCUCCCGCAGCAGGGCAGAGGGCGUGCGGGUCUCGGAGGAAUCCGCCUUCCUGCAUGAGUGAACACUGUGGGAAUCAGCAUCCAAAGGGACCAGGGUGUCAGGGCAGAUGUGGCCCGGCGGGCCGACGACGGCACUGCGCCCUGUGCUUGGUGCCCCCAUCCUUGGCAAGGAGAGGGUGGUACGGGGGCUGUGCAGAG
rnacentral:lncRNA from 1 species